rnacentral:lncRNA from 1 species
UGAUGUUGGACAUCAUAUUAUCACUUCUUCCUCAUCUCAGUCAUGUUUUGUAUGCACUAGAAUUUAGUUUAAAUAUCAUUUCCAUCUCAAAUCUGUGUCAAAAUUUAAAAUAUUAUGUUGUUUUUUUCUUCCAACCAAUGUGUUUUUCUGGAACUGAACACCAAGAGGAUGAUUGGUUUGCAUAAAUAAGAGAAUAAAAUAUGUACAUUGCAAUUAAAUGACACCACCUUGAGGCCAACGACCUUGAUUGUUCCCAUGUUG